rnacentral:lncRNA from 1 species
GUGAAUGAUAUAUCGCUUUGAGGAACCGAUAAAUGAUUCACUAUUUUCUGUAAGUGAUUAUCGCUUUGAGGAACCGAUAAAUGAUUCACUAUUUUCUGUAAGUGAUUAGGAGUGAAAACUGAUUGAAUAUUAUAUGAAAAUAUCUGUAUCCUUAUUCGAUAAUAUCCAAAUUCAGAUAGAAAGCAUCCGGAUUUGGUCGGAUACAGAUAUGGUUUUAGAAAGUUAAAUUUUUUCGGAUAUCUAGAAAAAACGAAUACGGAUUCUGUAUCUGAACUUUUAGUACUAUUGUUUUUAUGCUCUUUAUAUUUUCGGAUCUGCUCUGCCUGCCAGGCCUGCCCUAAUCCUUUUUCUCCAAAGGUGAUCACUUGAUUUCUUUUUAAUGAAUAAAACCUAUUUAUUCGCGAUCUCUCUCUCUCUCCGGCAUCUGCUCUCUUACCCUAAUCAUUUCUUCAUUCUCUCACCCCAUUAUCAAACCGAUCGUGGCCUGAGAUUGGCCAUCUACGAAUAGGACAACGAAGACAUAGUCCCUACAUCCCUCAUCUCUCUCGUCUCUCUAUUUUUCUUUGUCGCGGACUCUCCCUAUCUCUGAUCAUCGCCACCGACUACCUCCUCUUAUUUCGUUCGAGCUUGAACGACGCUCAAGUCUUGACCCACUCUCGCAUAGAGAACUUGGGUUAUCUGAUCUUUUUGUCCAAUUGUUCUUCUUACAGUAAGCUUUAUCUUAUACUUUCUAAGCUUCAUUUUAUACUUUCAAGUUUUUAACUAUGUACACAAUUUUUUUUUUUUUAAUUUUCAUGAAUUUUUAUGGCUUUUAUAGUUUAGAGUUUAUGGCUUUUUUAUUAUUUAAUUUUGUUCAGAAUUUUUAAUAGAUUUUCUCCUUUAUUUUUGUUUUAUUUUCAUUUAAUUAGAUUAAGAAUAUGUGAUUUUUUUCUAUACAAAUGCAAAAUAUCUAAUAGUAUUUCUCUAAUAGAAGAAACAUGUAAUAAUGCUGCUAAAAAAAAUAAAAAGUUAUCUAAAAUCCGGAAUGAUUUUGAAAAAAUAGUUGAAAUUAAUGGAGGAUCAAGUGAUAAUACAAGUAAGGAAUUAAUUAUGAAUGAAUCAAAUUCCAAAAAUCAGGAAUCCACCAAUUAUGACAAGUAUUCAAAUCAUAAGCAAUUGUGGAAACUCAAGAAUGACAAUAUCUCAAGUAUGGCCACCACUCCAAAUAGAAAAUAUUUGAAUUCAAAUAUUGUACAUUUCUAGAAAAUAAUUAUGUAAAUAUUGUAAUCCCAAGAAUAAUGGGAUUAUAUUUUGUAUUCAAUAAUUCUAUAUAUUGAGAAUUGGUUUUGUGUGUUCUCCAUUUGAGGACAACAACCAUUUUCCACCAAUUAUAAUUUUCUUUAUGAUAUCAGAGCUAUAAGACAUUAGUCAUCAUACUUGAUCUAAUGGCCACUUCUAGUGCUUCUUCUUCUACCACAAGCCCUACAUUUGUUAUUGCUAACAUUAGCAAUUUAGUCUCCAUUAAGCUUGAUCGCGAUUUUCGCCACUAGGCGGUAAGCAAUAGAUAAUUGACUCAAGAUCAAAUCGGGUGAUAUAGCUUGGCUAAGGUAAAAGAACCUUACCAACAGAUUAAAUUUUGCAAUGAAUAGUAAAAUAGAAAGUAGAAGAUGAAUACCUACAUGCAUUGAUUUCAUUAUUGCAUUUAGUGAGGCAUAAGCAUGAUGUUUAUUAUUUGCAUAAAAUUAUAUAUUGAUAUUUGUUGGACUAACUUGCUUAUGUUGUUUCUUUUGGACCUCGUGGGUCGAGCUCUUCCCUUGGGUAGCAGUACCCACUUAGAACUAUAUUUAUAAUUUUCACCCCCAUAUUUUUCAGGUCCAAACGUGAGCGGCGCGGCGGCACGAGAAAAGGACGUAGCUCGAUAGAUUGCGCCCUACCACUUGUGACCAGAGAUAGAUAUACCCUAGGUCAGCAUAGUUUAGGGGUAUAUGGAAGAAAGAAAUAAAAUUAUAAUAAAGUAGGUUGUAUUUGUAUGAAAAAGAAUGUUAAUAUAAUGUGAAUGUGACGAAUACCUGUAAUAGCACAGUGAUUUUAUGUUUUGAUGCCUCCUUAGGCAAUCUAUGUAUACAUUCUGUUCCUA